UAUGGCUCAGGAUGAACGCUGGCGGCGUGCUUAACACAUGCAAGUCGAACGGAGUUUUUAACGGAAGUUUCGGAUGGAAGUUUAGAAACUUAGUGGCGGACGGGUGAGUAACGCGUGGGUAACCUGCCUCAUACAGGGGGAUAACAGUUAGAAAUGACUGCUAACACCGCAUAAUAUAGCGAAACCGCAUGAUUUUGCUAUCAAAUAUUUAUAGGUAUGAGAUGGGCCCGCGUCUGAUUAGCUAGUUGGUGGGGUAAAGCCUACCAAGGCGACGAUCAGUAGCCGGCUUGAGAGAGUGACCGGCCACAUUGGGACUGAGACACGGCCCAAACUCCUACGGGAGGCAGCAGUGGGGAAUAUUGGACAAUGGGGGAAACCCUGAUCCAGCGAACCGCCGCGUGAGUGAAGAAGUAUUUCGGUAUGUAAAGCUCUAUCAGCAGGGAAGAUAAUGACAGUACCUGACUAAGAAGCCCCGGCUAACUACGUGCCAGCAGCCGC
rnacentral:rRNA from 1 species